AACGAACGCUGGCGGCAGGCUUAACACAUGCAAGUCGAACGCCCCGCAAGGGGAGUGGCAGACGGGUGAGUAACGCGUGGGAAUCUACCCAACCCUACGGAAUAACGCAUGGAAACGUGUGCUAAUACCGUAUACGCCCUUCGGGGGAAAGAUUUAUCGGGGAUGGAUGAGCCCGCGUUGGAUUAGCUAGUUGGUGGGGUAAAGGCCUACCAAGGCGACGAUCCAUAGCUGGUCUGAGAGGAUGAUCAGCCACAUUGGGACUGAGACACGGCCCAAACUCCUACGGGAGGCAGCAGUGGGGAAUAUUGGACAAUGGGCGCAAGCCUGAUCCAGCAAUGCCGCGUGAGUGAUGAAGGCCUUAGGGUUGUAAAGCUCUUUUACCCGAGAUGAUAAUGACAGUAUCGGGAGAAUAAGCCCCGGCUAACUCCGUGCCAGCAGCCGCGGUAAUACGGAGGGGGCUAGCGUUGUUCGGAAUUACUGGGCGUAAAGCGCACGUAGGCGUUUAUUCAAGUCAGAGGUGAAAGCCCGGGGCUCAACCCCGGAAUUGCCUUUGAGACUGCAUCGCUAGAAUUGUGGAGAGGUCAGUGGAAUUCCGAGUGUAGAGGUGAAAUUCGUAGAUAUUCGGAAGAACACCAGUGGCGAAGGCGACUGACUGGACAAGUAUUGACGCUGAGGUACGAAAGCGUGGGGAGCAAACAGGAUUAGAUACCCUGGUAGUCCACGCCGUAAACGAUGAUAACUANCUGUCCGGGCACUUGGUGCCUGGGUGGCGCAGCUAACGCAUUAAGCGCCCCGCCUGGGGAGUACGGCCGCAAGGCUAAA
rnacentral:rRNA from 1 species